UCAGUAACCAGAUAUCAUCCCUG
rnacentral:miRNA from 1 species